rnacentral:rRNA from 1 species
GAGCUUGCUCCUUUGACGUUAGCGGCGGACGGGUGAGUAACACGUGGGUAACCUACCUAUAAGACUGGGAUAACUUCGGGAAACCGGAGCUAAUACCGGAUAAUAUUUCGAACCGCAUGGUUCGAUAGUGAAAGAUGGUUUUGCUAUCACUUAUAGAUGGACCCGCGCCGUAUUAGCUAGUUGGUAAGGUAACGGCUUACCAAGGCGACGAUACGUAGCCGACCUGAGAGGGUGAUCGGCCACACUGGAACUGAGACACGGUCCAGACUCCUACGGGAGGCAGCAGUAGGGAAUCUUCCGCAAUGGGCGAAAGCCUGACGGAGCAACGCCGCGUGAGUGAUGAAGGUCUUCGGAUCGUAAAACUCUGUUAUUAGGGAAGAACAUACAUGUAAGUAACUAUGCACGUCUUGACGGUACCUAAUCAGAAAGCCACGGCUAACUACGUGCCAGCAGCCGCGGUAAUACGUAGGUGGCAAGCGUUAUCCGGAAUUAUUGGGCGUAAAGCGCGCGUAGGCGGUUUUUUAAGUCUGAUGUGAAAGCCCACGGCUCAACCGUGGAGGGUCAUUGGAAACUGUAAAACUUGAGUGCAGAAGAGGAAAGUGGAAUUCCAAGUGUAGCGGUGAAAUGCGCAGAGAUAUGGAGGAACACCAGUGGCGAAGGCGACUUUCUGGUCUGUAACUGACGCUGAUGUGCGAAAGCGUGGGGAUCAAACAG